GGGUGGUUGGCAUAGCGGCUGUGCAGCGAGCUUUUAAUCGGCAACAGAAAGGUUCGAUUCCUUUACCACCCA
rnacentral:tRNA from 1 species